CCUAAAGCAUCUCAGCACAAAGAAACCAGGAUAUGCCCUCAGAUAUACACAGGUUAGAUAGAAAAGGAGACACAGUAACGCAGAAAUAGAUCUAGGGAGAAGAGAUGAGGAACUUUAAAAGAAACUUAUGAAUGCCUCAAGCCCUGAAAGAAGCAUCAGCAAUCUCAGAAGCAAAGGGCCCCCAGCUUGGACUUUCAAUAAGAGUGGAAAGAAGCCCCCAUGUACUGAGUUUAGAAGGGCUGACAGACCACUGUGCUCCUGCCACCUACACAAUUUGUGUCAACUGGUAAAUGGACUAGUGGGCAGGGAAGAGCUGUUUAAGGACUAUUUGAGCCCAGAGAGGGCUGGAAGAUUGUGUGAUGUUUGUUCUGAACUGUUUAUCCUGUAAGAGCUUUAGUCAAAGCACUAAAUUACCCUACCAUAAGAAGACUGUAGACCAGAGUAGAAAACUGAAACAUGGAUUUAAGUUUCUUCACUCUGUCAGUCAUGUGCCCGUUACUAUUGAAUCUUAGUUGCUCACUGCCAGCAACCUAGUCUUCAGUCUUGUUUAAAUCUUCUAAACAGUUAUUUUGUAGACUUGGUAAAUAUUUGCAUAACACAAAUGCUUAGAGGCUCCAAAUCAGACUCUAUUGACUAUUAGACUAUUUUUCUACGUGUAACAUUAAA